GGAAGGGCAGGUCACUGCUUGGGUGGGGCUGAGUAUCAGUCAGCAUGUGGUGAGCAAUUGUACUGUGCAUCACUUGUAUUUCUUGGGGUUUAAUCC